UACGUAGGGUGCGAGCGUUAAUCGGAAUUACUGGGCGUAAAGGGCGUGUAGGCGGCCCGUUAAGACAGGUGUGAAAUUCCUGGGCUCAACCCAGGACGUGCGCCUGUGACGUGGCGGGCUUGAGUCCGGGAGAGGAUGGUGGAACUCCCAGUGUAGAGGUGAAAUUCGUAGAUAUUGGGAAGAACACCCGUGGCGAAGGCGGCCAUCUGGACCGGUACUGACGCUAAGGCGCGACAGCGUGGGAGCAAACAGG
rnacentral:rRNA from 1 species